UUAUGGUGGAGAAAACAGAAAAACUCGAAAAAAAAUGGAGAAGAAAAAAGAUCUGCGCAGCCGAAAGUGGAAAUCCACCAAAGAUCAUCGGGAAGAAAUCGGAGAGGGUUCCAGAAGGAGAAUCAGAGAACAAGAGCUUCGUUAGGGAAACGCCAAGGAGAGAGCUUGAACUGCUGAGGAGAUUGGCAACAUAAGCAAGAAGUGCAAAAUGAAGAAAGGGGAUACCCUUAUAUAGAGGCUCAAAUAGUUUUGAUUGAAGCGAUGGUUUGGUUUUUCGAGCUGAUUCAACCAUGUGCCAGUUCAGGAUACGAUGUGAAAGGCUCAUUCGGAUUACCACAUUAAUAGCGCCUCACGACAACACUAACAUAAGAAUGCUUUGGGGCAACUCCUAUAUGAUGAUGCUUCGAAAAAAAUCAAUCGACGCAUUAAUACUCGCUUCUAGAUGCCCUAUUCUCGAUCAAGAUAACAAUACAACUCUCAUC
rnacentral:lncRNA from 1 species